GUUUCACCACGUUGGCCAGUCUGGUCUUCAACUCCUGACCUCAAAUAAUCCGGCUGUCUCAGUCUCCCAAAGUGCUGGGGAUUACAGGCGUGACCCACUGUGCCUGGCCUCUGUGUCUGUCUCUAAUUGUACCUUCCGCUGUCUCUGCAUCCCUUUCUAGCUCUUCCUCUCUCUGCCUGUCUCUGCCUCUGUUCUCCUGUAUCUGUCAGUAUCUGUCUCUCUCUGAUUCUGUCAAAUUCUCUUUCUCUUCCUGCUCCUGCUGUCCCACCAGGUCCAGGUGAUGACUGCAAAGGAGUGCCCAGGAGCAGGCCACUACUGCCCAGAGAGCAGAGGAGGAGGUUGUUGGCAGGGACCGCAGAUCCAGUCAGACCUGGCCACCACCUUGGGCAUGGCCACUCUGCCCUCUGGACCUGCCUUUCAUCGGGAGAAACCACUCAGAGGUGGAUCCCAUUCCCUAAAGGUCUCACCGCAAAGGAACAGGACUUCCAGGCCCCUUGACCCUGCCUGGCCUGAUUCAGGGCCUGGUGGCCCCCAGCCUUCUGUUUCAAGCUGGGCAUACCCCAGGCCCCCUUCCCUCCCUAAGGACUCAGCUGAGGGACCCCUUUGCCCCCUUCUACCUCCACCUCAGCACCCUCCCCCAGCUUGAUGUUUCGGUCUCCCCAGCACCCUCCUCCCUGGCCAGUGCAAAGUACAGAGAGGUAGAGGAGGGCCCUUGCAGACCUGUUGCCCAGCACACAGUAGGCCCUCAAUAAAAGCCAUUUGCACUUUAAAUAUA